AAUUGGGGAUAAUCAAUUUUCAGGGAAGAUACCCGAUUUUAUUCAGAACUGGACGAGUCUCGAGAAAUUGAGGAUUCUGGGGAGUGGUUUAAGCGGGCCAAUUCCUUCAGUAUUCUCACUAAUGAAAAAUCUGAGAGAAUUGAUUAUUAGUGACCUGAAUGGAUCUGAAUAUUUGCAUUUGCCAGAACUUAA